AUGUCAACUUGUAAUGAGCUUUCACAGCCUCAUCAACCUCAUGUAGCUCUUCUCCCAAGUGCUGGUAUAGGCCAUCUCACACCCUUUCUUAGACUCGCUACAAAGCUUAUCCACCAUCAUUGCCAUGUCACUCUCAUCACCACUCACCCCACUGUGUCACUCACUGAGUCUCAAUUCAUUAGCCGCUUCCUCUCAGCUUUCCCUCAAGUCACACAAUUGCAAUUCCAUCUUCUCACUUUAGACCCUUCCACAGCCAAUUCCAAUGACCCUUUUUGGCUUCGUUUUGAAGCUAUUCGUCGCUCAGCCCACCUCCUCUCUCCUCUCCUCACUUCACUUUCUCCACCUCUUGAUGCUCUCAUCUAUGAUGUAAGUUUGAUUUCCUCUGUGAUUCCAGUCAUUGAAAGCUUACAUAUUUCCAACUAUAUUCUCUUUCCUUCAUCAGCAAGAAUGUUCUCUCUGUUUUCACACUUCCCAAAUUUUGCAUCCAAAGCUAUAUUUGGUGAUGUUCUUGAAGUUAUUCCAGGGCUUAAGCCAAUACCCAGAUCGUCAAUCCCUCCUUUGCUUCUUAUCCCAGAUAGUCUUUUUGCUAAUAUAGUCAAGGAAGACAGUCCUAAACUCCCAAAAUCAAAUGGGGUUUUGAUCAAUACUUUUGAAGGACUAGAAUCAGAAGCACUAGAAACAUUUAGUAAUAGAAAAUUAGUGAUUGAGGGGUUGCCACCUGUGUUUGCUGUUGGACCUUUGGUGCCAUGUGAGUUUGAGAAGGUAGAGUGGGAUGAGCCAUUGAAGUGGCUCAAUGAACAAGAAGAUGGUUCAGUGGUGUAUGUUAGCUUUGGUAGUAAGACAGCUAUGUCUAGGGACCAAUUAAGAGAAGUAGGACAUGGGUUACUUAAAAGUGAGUGUAGAUUUUUGUGGGUGGUGAAGGAUAAGCAAGUUGACAAAGAGGAUAAAGAGGGUUUGGAUGAAGUGGUAGGGCAUGAGCUUAUAGAGAAGAUGAAGGAGAAAGGGUUGGUGGUGAAGAAAUGGGUGGACCAAGGAGAGUUACUUGGUCACAGGGCUGUGGGAGGGUUUGUGAGCCAUUGUGGUUGGAAUUCAGUGAUUGAGGCUGCAUGGCAUGGUGUGCCAAUUUUAGCUUGGCCACAAGGUGGGGAUCAGAAGAUUAAUGCAGAGGUGGUGGAGAUGAGUGGGGUUGGGAUUUGGGAGAAGAGUUGGGGAUGGGGUGGAAAAGAUGAUCAAAUGGUGGUUAAGGGGGAAGAAUUGGGAAGAGAAUUAGAGAGAUGAUGGAGAAGGAAUUUUUUAGAGUGCAAGCAGCUCACAUAAGAGAAGAGGCAAGGAAAGCAUUUGGUGUUGGAGGGAAUUGUGAGAGAAUGUUCAAGCAAUUGGUUGAAGAGUGGAAGUGA